UUUUCACGCUACUUCCGCUUUAUGCUGAGCUCAACAGUUCCAAACUUUGACAUUCACGGCUGUAGCCCCAUUCACUUCCAUUGCUUUCUGCCUGAUAUUGUCAGUGAUGCUGAAAGUGACAUGACAAGAGGACAUUGGCUGUCUUUAGGGACCGGGUUGACAAGUGGUUAUUGGAGUGAUUGAGUGGUGGUUGGAGUGAGGAAUAGGCUGCUGGAGCAACAAGACUCCCUGAAGCUGAGACUGGAAAGGGCAGGCCAAGUACUUCCAUGGCAACAAGCAAGGUGGGAGGCAUGGGUUUAGGUGCAGAAGGAUUUCGAGUCUUCCUUGCCUUUUUGCUUUGACUCUUGCUUCCAAGAUGGCCAUCAUCCUGUCGCUUUUUGUUCCUAUCAGCCCUAAUUGAUUUUGCUUCAAUACGAAGCCUCAGCCUGAUGUAUGUGUUGACAAUUUUUAGUUUUAGGUCAUGGCAUGAAGGCAGUGUGCUGUGCAGGAGCAUGGCCUCUCUCUGUAGUAGUGCCACUGCAUUGGCUGACUCCUUAAGGGAAUCGGUCGUCCUUGCCCGGAACAACUGCUCCACUUUGCUGAUGAGAUCGAAGGCCUCUUGUGAUGGACGGUGUUGCUGGGUCUAUCAGUUCCUCCAGCCUCAGACCAGGACUGCAGAUGGUGUCGAACCAGUGGUCUACCUUCUCAAGGAACCAAGAUGUGAGGUAAGACUGUGGCCGUUGCUCCUCCUCAGCCAGGUAUUUCAGGCCAGCACUGGUCGCUCUACUGAAGACGUGUAUGGCAGGUGACAAUGACACCGAAAUUGAAUAAAUAUGUGCUGUUGGGGUCAGAUCUUUGAAAAGUUGGGAUCUCAUUUGUCUGCUGCAUUGAAGUUGGUCAACAACAAAAAUGGAAAUGAUUUUGCAGUCAUGAAGGAUAAAUUGGUAUGUACUGUGAUAGUAUGUACUGUGUCUCUGUGUUAAGGGCCGUUCACACCAGGAACUGUAACGAUAAAUGCGUCCACACUGACCAACAAUAACAAAAGUCUCUCCUUGUGUUGAUGAAUUUGCUGGCUAAAGUUUAAUGGAUUCUGAUUGCCUGUCAGCUUUUUAUUCUCAAAAUAACUCUUGACAGAUAUAGUUGGGAAUCACAUUUUUAGUGUUGUUAUCAUUAUAGUUCAUGUGUGGAUGUAAGGUCUGGCUCCCCCAACCGACCUUGCAGAGGUCGGCCGUGUAUGGGUAUGUAAAACUCUUGCUGGUCUCUUUGGUUUCUGGUAAUAACUUGAUGUGGCAUCUGUGAAUGUCUUGUACCAAGUGUACACUGACUGUUACCUGCUCUCUCCAUUCUCCACUGUGCCUGUUCUUACCUAGGACCAAGGAUGCAGAGGACAAGAUGGGUGUGCGGUAUGACUGAAAUGAUCAGAAAAGGUCAGAAGAGGCCCU